AGCAGAGUAGGUCCUAUCAGCAGUCAGAUGACCCUCGGAGGCGGGCAGACGUCUAGCUGCUCCUGGGUCACAAUGCCAAGGCCUGCCAGCUGCUGGUCGAGCUGUGUGAGGGCCACUAAAUACUGGAUACAGCAGGAUUGUUUCUGAACUGCAAAAAUCUGUGGGAGAUGGUUUCUCCUUGUCUUUGAAAGCUUUAAUGGGAUUUGAGAGCGCGUGAGUGAGCUCUGCAAAAGAAAACAAAACAAAGGCCAUUUACAACCAUUUUCAGGACAAUACAAUGUGACAUGUACCUGAUCUGAUUACAUCAAUUGGAAUGAUCCGGUGGCCAAUAAAUUUCCCUCCUUCUUCAAAUGCUGCAACUCUUAGAGAAGCCAUCUCUGGCAUGAGAAUCUGACAAUAAAGAUUUCACAUACUGAAUGUCCAAGCCUCCCCACUGAUCAGCUAUGGGUCUGGCAUUUGUGGUGACGGGGUGUGAGGUGCAGGACAGAUGUUGUUACCCUAGAGGCAGAUGGCAUUAACCCCUUGUAUUCGUGACGCCAGGGUGUGGUUUAUCCUAUAACCACUUGAAGGUAUACCGCUGGAUCCUGGGCUAGGCACGGGGGGCAAUAAAGACUAUGAUGUCAAAUUAUGGACUACGGUAGCUUUACUGAGGUUGGUAAAAUCUAUACAGUUCAGCCAGGGCCCAAGGAGGUGACCAAUGACGUUGAGACCUUAAGGGCUUGCUGGGACUUGUAGUAGGACUGGGCAAUUUAGUGCAGGCCACGUUGCUUGACAAUUUGACAGAGACUGACUUGACUGAUGAUGGACAAUGCUGCAGGUUUAGAUUACUUGCCCUUGACUGUGGUUGCAGGACUUGACUUGAGGCCUCCAAUACUCCGGACACACACAAAAGCCACGACUGACCUCAGCAAAGACUUAUCUCCAAAGAGUGAGCUAGCUCCACUCAGGGCUUAUAUGGGGGAGACUAGCAGGGAGCCCAUAGGUUACCCCUGGGAUCACCUGGUCAUUGGUACCUCCUUGGUAACAAUCACAUGGUAUAACUUUUAAAGUGAUAACACAUUUUAUACAGUACACCAUAUUUACAAUGGGGAAACUAAUGCAGGGGGCCCAGGGGACACUGAAGGAGGCUGCCUGACAGGGCAGCAGGAGUAUGGGGUAACACCUCCCAUACUGGGCCACCACACUUUGAUAGCUAUAUUGCUAGGUAAAGUCUAUGGCCAGAAAUCAUGUAAUACAGAGUGGAAG